UAGGUAGGGUGCAAGCGUUAAUCGGAAUUACUGGGCGUAAAGCGUGCGCAGGCGGUUCCAUAACACAGAUGUGAAAUCCCCGGGCUCAACCUGGGAACUGCAUUUGUGACUGUGGGGCUAGAGUACGGUAGAGGGGGAUGGAAUUCCGCGUGUAGCAGUGAAAUGUGUAGAUAUGCGGAGGAACACCAAUGGCGAAGGCAAUCCCCUGGACCUGUUCUGACGCUCAUGCACGAAAGCGUGGGGAGCAAACAGG
rnacentral:rRNA from 1 species